ensembl:lincRNA Gm17276 predicted gene, 17276
CACGCAGGCCGCGUGGCUGGAAAGGAUCUCCUGAUCUCUGAGGGUCUUCAGGCUCUGGAGCUCAGUGGGAACUCUUUGGACAGCAGCUCCGGAGUGUGCCACCCAUGGAGUGAUCAGCACCGCGGGCCAAGGAGGAAAGAACCGUGUUGGGGAGUGUGACCCAGACGGGCCAGCUGAUGCAGAGCCCGGUCUGCAAAAGGGGAUGUGAGCCCACGUGCUGGAGCACUGAAGAAGGAGCUCACGUGCUGGAUUCCACAAGUCCCUUGCCCCGAGGGGCGGCGCCUGCGUGAGGCAGCACCUUCAACCCUGCCCUCGCCGGGGGACUCGCGAGUUAGCAGCCGGCCUGUUGAGGUCAGAGGAGGCGGGGUGCGUCCAAGCCUAGCGACUGCGCGUGCUUAAAGCUCUGGAGCAGAGAACGAGCGAGCGGCCUGAGCAACCCCAGCCCGUGACACCACCCGAACCACGCGCCACUACAGCUUUCCCGGCAUGGGGCGGGGGGCAAAUGCGGGGUGCUCUCCAUCCAGAGAGAGCUACGUUGUCCGCGGCUACGUGGACAACAGAGCGACCAUGUUCCCUCUGCAGCUCACCUCGCACAUCCCGAAGUGGGUAUGGGAAAUCAAGUCGCUCCACUGCUGACAAGGCUCCCAGGUAGUCAGCAGCACUCUGGGCAUCAGGGAAGCAGUGGUCAUUCUCAGCUGACUGCAGACAGAGCCGGUUGUCAAUCUCCAGCAUCACCACAGAGCUGUGGGAACAGAGCAGAGGGACCCAAAGGCUCAACACUUGUCUACAGCAUCCUAGACACCCGACCUCAGAGAGCCACAUCCGUCUCCACUCUCCAUGUCUCUACCACCCACCCAGCUCUCAGCUGGCAUCCAACUCCACUGUCUCUCCCAACAGAUCUUAUUGGUCACAGUGUCUCAAAGCUGUGAAUUCAAUAAUGUCUUCAUUCGCCCUGGUAGAGUCUGUUGGUGUCGCCCUUUGCUGGGACAGUGUACCAUGUCAGUUUCUCUAAAAGCUUGCUUUUUCUCCUUUAUCCUUCUUUGUGGUAUUGGAGAUGAACUUGGGGCCUUGAAUAUACAAGGUAGGUUCUCUACCACUGAGCCACGUCCUCUACUGUCCCCCAAUUCUUAGGUCUCUGAGAGUCCUUAGAUUCCUUCUUCAUUUCCUUCUCUCCUGCUUCCUUGAUUCUCCCUUCUUUCCCUCCAAUGGCCUCCAAUACCCAGUUGUCUUGUAUGCAUCUUCAGCCCUCAGUCAUCUCCUGGGGUUCCUCCCCAUACCUCAAGACCCCCUAAGAAUAGCAAGUUCCAAGGUGGCCCCUGCUUAGCCCUAUGUCCUCAUCACUAAGCCACUUUAGCCAAGAAAGGGGCCAUGUGUCACCUCACCCAUCUACUUGACUUCUGCCUGCAUCCAAUCAGAACCCACAAACCACAGCAUCUCUAAAGUUCAGCUCUCCUUUCCUUGUCAGGGCCCAAUCUUCAGGCCCUGGUCCACCCUCAAAAAAAUGCCUCUCCCACUUCAGGUUCCCCCUACCAGGUCACCAGUGAGCAAGUUCUACAACUUUUGUGAGAUGAGGGGAAAGGGGAAUGAAGAGAGUGGGGAGGAAAGAGAGUGAGUGUCGGGGGCGAUAUUGUAUGCCUGCAAUCCUAGUACUUGGAAGGGCUGAGUAGGAGAACCAUGAGUUCAAAGCCAACCUGGGCUACAGAUUGAAUUUCAGGUUAGUGCCUAUAAAACACAAACAAAGCAAACAACGAGAAGAAAACAACAAACAAGCCAGCGAAAUGGCUCACAGGCAACAUGCUCAUCAUGCAAGCCUGACAUCCUGAUGAGAAGAGAGAACUGACUUCACACUGUUGUCCUCUAACCUCUACAGGCAUGCGUCGUCAUGGCACUUGGGGACCUACACACACACAUCAUGCACACAAGAAGGUGCUGUCACCUGCAUUUGAAGAGUAAAAUCUCAGCGCUGCAGCGAGGCUCCCUGUAGUGUACAGAGGAUGAACCCCCCCCCCCCCAUAGCAAAGAUGUCAACCCGACAGACACGGAAAAACCUGUGGAAGACGCCUUGCCAAGAGAGCUCUCAACUAAGAAGCGUGAAACAGACGGUCUGGACCACGGGUGCCCUAACCGCUGUACCCAGCCCUGAGCCACAGUCACUCACCCGAUCACCUCAGGACCCAGCUCACGACGGACCCGGGAUUCAGAGCCAGGGCUUGGCCGGUGAUAGGGGAAGACCAUGGCCUGGCCACGUGCGUCCAAGCGGAAGCGCAGUGAGGUGCGCAGAAUAGCGCUGAGUCGCUGCAGAAAGUCGGCACUGGAGCGCAGCAACUCUUCAGGAGGCAGAAGAACUGUGAGGACCAGAACCCCUCGGGCCAAAAGGGCCGGGACCUCGCUGGCACAGUCCAGCCCAUCCCAGCCGCAUUCCUCAGUGUUGCAGCCCUGGUCACAACGGCCAUCUGCAAAGUGGUCGGCGCAGUACUUCUCAUAAACAGGGCUGGGGACAGAGAACACAAACUCAGAGAUUCUUCGGGUCACCUAAAUGCACACACAGAGAAUAGCAGUAGUGGACAGUGCUGGUAUGGGGUUGGGGAUGGUGGUGGUGGGAAAUGUUCUUGCAUAUGCUUUCUGCAAAUGCAGUCGUUGGCUGCAUAAGCACAAGUUCUGUGUUCCUAAUUUGAAAUAAUUGGGACUAAAACUAUUUCAGAGUUCAAAUUAUAGUUUUAGAAUAUUUACACAUAUGCUUAAAUAUUAUAUAUGCAAAUAAAUGCAAUGAGAUAUCUUUCU